rnacentral:tRNA from 1 species
GUGUCAAUAGCUCAGUAGGAUAGAGCGCUCCCCUCCUAAGGGAGAGGUCGGGGGUUCGAUUCCCUUUUGGCACACCA